GUGGGGGGGGGGGGGGAGGAAGGGAGGAGAUUAUUAAGGAGAGUAACCCCUUAGGCCAAUGGUUGUCUUAGAUGCCUGAACCUGUGUAAGAGAUCUGCCCAAGCAUGCAGCAGGCUGGUGAGCCUGAUGCCCAGAAUCUCACAACAGACAUGGAGGAUUAGAGACAAGAGGGGUGCCACAUUCUGGACCCUGAGUGGAGAGAUGUCUACAAGGGAGUGGAGACACUGGUGAGAGGAUUGAACCAUGGAUAUGGGACUCUUACAGGGGUUGGUGAGCAGUGGUGGGGGUAGGAAAUAACAAUGAGGUAAUAAGCUAACAACUUGCCCCCAUAGCUGUAGCCAAUCAGAAUGGAUUUCAGGGGUGUUGGACCUCUCUACAAGCAGUGCUGAACCAACUGAAGCAAGUAUAGGGAUGGGACCUAGACUGAUAGUCUCAGUCACAUUGGUGGGGUCUCAGAAAUGUCAUGAAUGAGAUUCAGGUUGAUUGAGACAAAUUCCUGGGUUCUGAAAACAGGCCCUGUGACCAUAAGAAAACCCCAUCAACCUGUGUCAGAGCUGUCAGCGGUGAGCAUGGAAGUGCUGGACAAUCCUGGCCUAAGGUAGGUGAUACCUUUAUAAAGAGCUUUCAAAAACUGCACAUCAGUAGACCUGUGAGAACUAAGGUCUUUUGACUGAACUGGUUUUGUUCAUAUCUGAAAAAGAGGAGUUCAAGACAAGGCUGAAGAUUACACUUCCUUGCUUCCAUGGAUUGCUGUCUUCAUAAUUUCCAGACUGCUAUGAGGACAUUUGCACCCUGCACAAGCCAGCGAGAAGAUGUUUUAAAAGGAGCAAGGCUGUUAUUUCAGAUGUGGAUGCACAAUUGCAGUUAGUUUUGGUGGAUAUGUAACAGUUCUCCAAAAACAACAGUGGAUUUAAGUACAUCUUAACAGUGAUAGACAUAGUAUCAAAGCAUGCCUAGGCCAUGGGCCUAAAAGACAGGUCAGCAGGUGAAAUAUGCCAGGUCUUUAAAACCACUUUAAUGGAGGGCCAUGUACCUCAAGAAUUACAGACUAAUCAGGGAAAAUAAUUUUAAAAUAAACCUUAAUUCAAACUGUAAAAGCAGUAUAAUAUCCACCAUUUUGUUAUGAAUGAUGAAGUUGUGGUGGUAGAGCACUUUAACAGAACAUUAAAAUCAAAGAUGUGGAGGUAUUUUACAGCCUGCAACACCUUUUGCCAUAUUGAUGCACUUCCAGAGUUUAUAAAGAGCUAUAGCUAGAGCUUUCACAGAACUAAGUGCCAGACCUGUUGACUAGCACUCCAUAAGCUCUCCACAGGUGUGGAAAAGAGUAUGUAGCAAAACCCCCAGUUUUUCUUCUUUUUUUUUCUUUUAAAAUGAAUUCCCUCCCCUUCCCCAACCAUUUCUGACUUUUUCUCUCCCUCUCUAUUCCCUAUAGAUAAGUAUAAGUGAGCUAAGACAGGAUAAGCUUCAGCAUUUUAUUUUGGUAGCAAGCUGUAUUUGUUUUGUUUUUUCUCCUUCUUUACAUUGUAUAAUUAUUAUGUUUUAUAUUGAUUUUUACUGUUCUAUAUUACUAUUUUACUGCUACUAUAUGAUUUAGGCCUACAUAUGUCAGUUAGCAUAAGUCAUGUCAAGUUUCCAUUUUGUUUGUCAAGUCUCCAUCUUUUCCCCAUGCCUUGUUGUGUAACCCAUGGCUCAUACCUACCCCUCCUAUGUAACUUGGUUCCUGAAUGAAUGGGGAUGAAUCAAGUUGCUUGAGAGACAAUGGCAGUAGGUCUAAAAAUAGCUCCCUCUGAAUGACCGAACCAUCAAAACCAAUACCAGGACCAACGACCCAGCCCUUGGAACCUCCCUCAGCAUUCAAGAAACUAAAGAUGAGGCAACCCACCAUUGUGCCAGGCUGCACAUGAUCAGUAAGAACACUUGGAGCCCUCUGGGACAGGACUGACCUUCCCUGGACAGGCACUCCCCAUAUGAGAUCUGAGGUAGUUUGCCCCAUAAAAGGGGUAGUGAAGACUGACUCCUUGGGAUGCCCUCCCCAUCUGGACCAGCACCACGCCACACCACCUAUCCACCCAGAGGCCCUGCCAGCGACCCCGCUCUGGGCAACACCUACUGGACAAGGACCCCUUUCAAGCCUGGAUAGGUAGCUAUCACCCCCACCCCCUCUUCAACCAAGGACUUGGACUCUGUUUCUCUUCCCUACCUGGACUCCAACCCUUCCACUGAGUCUCUUUUUCCUGCCGCCAUUGUGAGUGCUUGUGUGUGUGUGAACCAAUAACUUCAUGGGGCUGUGUAGUGUGUUGUCUGUUCAAUAAAACUGUUAUUUGGACCCCUGAGUUGGGUUUUGCUAUGGUUUGGC